rnacentral:rRNA from 1 species
CACGUAGGGUGCGAGCGUUGUCCGGAAUUAUUGGGCGUAAAGAGCUCGUAGGCGGUGUGUCGCGUCGGCCGUGAAAACCUGCAGCUUAACUGUGGGCGUGCGGUCGAUACGGGCAUCACUGGAGUUCGGCAGGGGAGACUGGAAUUCCUGGUGUAGCGGUGAAAUGCGCAGAUAUCAGGAGGAACACCGGUGGCGAAGGCGCCACUCUGGGCCGAAACUGACGCUGAGGAGCGAAAGCGUGGGUAGCGAACAGG